rnacentral:rRNA from 1 species
AUGCGUGAUCUCAAACACGCGGCUGGAGCUUGGGUCGAUGAACUUCCAUCUGUGCUCUGGGGACUGCGGACCACGCCCAAUCGGUCGACCGGAAGAACUCCAUUCUUCUUGGUCUACGGAGCCGAAGCAGUCUUGCCAAGUGAUCUUCUCCACAAUGCUCCUCGAGUCGAAACCUACGACGAAGCAGAAGCUGAACAAGCGCGGCAGGACGCAGUCGACCUUUUAGAUGAAGAAAGGGAGAUAGCUCUGAUCCGGUCGACCAUCUACCAACAAGAUCUGCGCCGUUUCCACGCUCGAAAUGUGAGAGGUCGAGCCUUCCAGGAAGGGGAUCUGGUUCUCCGAGUGGAUCAGCACAAACCACAUAAGCUUGCUCCUUCUUGGGAAGGCCCUUUCAUCGUCACCAAGGUUCUCCACAACGGGGCAUACCGUCUUUACAACGUCGAGCAUAAUAUCGACGAGCCCCGAGCUUGGAACGCGGAGCUACUCCGCCCGUUUUACACUUAA